GGCUGAACGCGGAUCCGCCGGGGCCGCCGCCCUGGCCAGGUUGGCCGGGCUCGCCCGGCUGGCCGAGCUCGCCCGGUUGUCCUCCCUUACCGCCGCGUCCUCCCCUGCCGCCGCGGCCUCCGAUGCCGAGAAAGCCGCCGUCGCCACCGUGAGGGCCGAACACGGAUCCGCCGCGACCACCGCCCUGGCCCGGUUGGCCUCCCCUGCCGUUGCGUCCUCCACUGCCGCCGCGUCCUCGCCUGGUUGCCAUUGAUGGCGAUCUAGGUCGGCGCCGGCGCAGAGGCAGAAAGGGAACGGGCAUAACCUAGACCGGCGCAGAGCCUCGUCUCGUCUCGUCUCGCCAUAAGGCGGCUGGCGACGACGACGAGCCCUCCUGCUCGCACUACUACCUCCGCCACCUCCAGGCGGCGGAUGAGCCGCCGGUGCGCGACCCCAUCGGCGAGGGCACCGCGCACGCGUGGGUCGAGCGCAGCCCGUCGCUGCUCCGGCUCACGGGAGGGACCCGUUCAACGGCGAGCCCCCGCUGCCGCUGCUCAUGCGGCACGGCUUCGUCACCCCGGCCCGCUGCACUACGUGCGCAACCACAGCACCGUGCCGCGGGCGGACUGGGCGACCUGGACCGUCGAGGUGACGGGCCUCGUCCGGCGUCCCGCACGGCUCGCCAUGGCGGACCUCGCCGGGGGCUUCCGCGCUGGAGCUCCCCGUCACGCUCGCCUGCUCCAGCGGCCGGCGCAAGGAGCAGAACAUGGCGCGGCAGACGCUGGGCUUCAACUGGGGCCCCGGCGCCGUGUCCACCUCGGUGGCGCGGCGCGCCGCUCCGCGACGUGCUGCGCCGGGGCAUGCUAAAUUGCUAAUGCGAUAUUGAUCAGUUGUCUAUCUUGUCGAACGGGUCAUUUGCAAUAGCAUUUACGAAAAAAAUAUGAUUUGAUAGUCCUACUCCUAUUAUGUACGAGAAGCUAAAUAGGGUGCUGUAUGAAUGUGCAACAUGAUGAAUAUUAAUUUCUCCCAAAUGUUUUGUA